CUUCGCUAUAAUUUGUGCACCAUUGCCUGGAUCCUGGGCCUCUGCCCCUACCAGCAUAAUCUCCGCUGCGCACCGCUUCCUUCAUGGCAACUUGAAUGGCAACACUGUGGCAUAUUCUUCAAGAGUACCCGCCUCUGCGUCCUCUUGCCCCGUGCUAAGGCCUUCUGAACCCAACUUCGCCUCCGCAAAUUGAGUCGCCUUAGUUCCUCCAUCAAAUGCUUUCCCGAGAUAAGGUGCAUGUGCCCAGAAGCUCCCUUCG
rnacentral:lncRNA from 1 species